CGUCAAAUCAUCAUGCCCCUUAUGACCUGGGCUACACACGUGCUACAAUGGGUGGUACAAAGGGCAGCGAAAUCGCGAGAUUGAGCUAAUCCCAUAAAACCACUCUCAGUUCGGAUUGCAGGCUGCAACCCGCCUGCAUGAAGCUGGAAUCGCUAGUAAUCGCGGAUCAGCAUGCCGCGGUGAAUACGUUCCCGGGCCUU
rnacentral:rRNA from 1 species